rnacentral:rRNA from 1 species
CCCUUAGAUGUUCUGGGCCGCACGCGCGCUACACUGAUGCAUUCAACGAGUUUCUUCCUGGUCCGAGAGGAAUGGGUAACCUUUUGAAAGUGCAUCGUGAGAGGGAUAGACUAUUGCAAUUAUUGGUCUUCAACGAGGAAUUCCUAGUAGACGUAGUUCAUCAGACUGCAUCGAUUACGUCCCUGCCCUUUGUACACACCGCCCGUCGCUCCUACCGAUUGAAUGCUCAGGUGAGCCAUUCGGACUUUCAUCAUGCUGGUUUCCAGUUUUGAUGAAGGAAAGUCUUGCGAACCUUAUCAUUUAGAGGAAGGAGAAGUCGUAACA